CAUAUAAACAUUUUUCCCUGCAGAUAAUUUAAUACACAUUUGAGGAAGCAUACAGAACUACAAUGACAGGGAAUCCUUUCUUGCUUCAGAAUCUAUUUAUAUUGUUUGAAUUAUGCCCUGCUCAUGGAGGUUUCACUUACGGACACUGAACAUUGGGAAGUUUUGUCAAUUAUGUAUAACACUUUUUAUUAAUGGUUUUUGUGAAUUCUGUAUUGCACAAUUUUGAAAAGUUUUUUAGAGUGUUUUAAUGGUUAAUAGACUAAUCAUACAAUUAUAUAUGCUAAUGUUGUGACUAUUUAAUCAUGUGCACUGGUGUGUGUCUGUAUGCCUGACAAAGGGGUACGCCCCGGAACAUUGCUUUUUGAAUAAACACACAGGGGCUAAGCCCCGCUUGCACUUUA